rnacentral:rRNA from 1 species
AUUGAACGCUGGCGGCAGGCUUAACACAUGCAAGUCGAACGAGUGGCGGACGGGUGAGUAAUGCUUGGGAAUCUAGCUACUGGAGGGGGAUAACUACGGGAAACUGUGGCUAAUACCGCAUACCAUAGGAUGCGCCCAAGUGGGAUUAGGUAGUUGGUGAGGUAAAGGCUGACCAAGCCGACGAUCGCUAGCUGGUCUGAGAGGAUGACCAGCCACCCUGGGACUGAGACACGGCCCAGACUCCUACGGGAGGCAGCAGUGGGGAAUAUUGCGCAAUGGGGGAAACCUGAUGCAGCCAUGCCGCGUGAAUGAAGAAGGCCUUCGGGUUGUAAAGUUCUUUCGGUAGCGAGGCGUUAACUACAGAAGAAGCACCGGCUAACUCCGUGCCAGCAGCCGCGGUAAUAC